rnacentral:rRNA from 1 species
UACGGGAGGCAGCAGUGGGGAAUUUUGGACAAUGGGGGCAACCCUGAUCCAGCCAUUCCGCGUGAGUGAAGAAGGCCUUCGGGUUGUAAAGCUCUUUUGUCCGGAGCGAAACGGUCGUGGUGAAUAUCCGCGACUACUGACGGUACCCCAAGAAGAAGCCCCGGCUAACUCCGUGCCAGCAGCCGCGGUAAUACGGAGGGUGCAAGCGUUGUUCGGAAUUAUUGGGCGUAAAGCGCGUGUAGGCGGGAAAGCAGGUCAGGUGUGAAAUCCCUUGGCUUAACCAAGGAACUGCAUCUGAAACCAUUUUCCUCGAGUACGAUAGGGGAGGGCGGAAUUCCCAGUGUAGAGGUGAAAUUCAUAGAUAUUGGGAGGAACACCAGUGGCGAAGGCGACCCUCUGGAUCGAUACUGACGCUGAGACGCGAAAGCGUGGGUAGCAAACAGGAUUAGAUACCCUGGUAGUCCACGCUGUAAACGAUGUGCACUAGGUGUUGGAGGUACUUAAUCCUCCAGUGCCGCAGCUAACGCAUUAAGUGCACCGCCUGGGGAAUACGGCCGCAAGGUUAAAACUCAAAGGAAUUGACGGGGA